rnacentral:rRNA from 1 species
GCAGCCGCGGUAAUUCCAGCUCUCAAAGUGUAUAUCGUCAUUGCUGCGGUUAAAAAGCUCGUAGUUGGAUCUGCGCCUCAGGACCUGGUCCGCCCACUGGGCGAGAACAGGGCUCCUGGGCUAGUUCUGUUGGUUUUCCCUACGUUGCCUUCAUCGGUCGCGUAGGGUGGCUAGCGAGUUUACUUUGAAAAAAUUAGAGUGCUUCACGCGGGCUUAUGUCUGAAUACUCGUGCAUGGAAUAAUAGAAUAGGAUCUCGGUUCUAUUUUGUUGGUUUUCUGAUCUGAGAUAAUGGUUAAGAGGGACGGACGGGGGCAUUCGUAUCGCUGCGUGAGAGGUGAAAUUCUUGGACCGUAGCGAGACGUCCGACUGCGAAAGCAUUUGCCAAGAAUGUCUUCAUUAAUCAAGAACGAAAGUCAGAGGUUCGAAGGCGAUCAGAUACCGCCCUAGUUCUGACCGUAAACGAUACCAACUAGCGUUCCGUCGGCGGUAAAUACGCCUUGACGGGCAGCUUCCCGGAAACGAAAGUCUUUCGGUUCCGGGGGAAGUAUGGUUGCAAAGCUGAAACUUAAAGAAAUUGACGGAAGGGCACCACCAGGAGUGGAGCCUGCGGCUUAAUUUGACUCAACACGGGAAAACUCACCUGGCCCGGACACCGUGAGGAUUGACAGAUUGAGAGCUCUUUCUUGAUUCGGUGGUUGGUGGUGCAUGGCCGUUCUUAGUUGGUGGAGUGAUUUGUCUGGUUUAUUCCGAUAACGAGCGAGACUCUAGCCUACUAAAUAGUCAUCGGAUAAAUAAGUCCGGAAGACUUCUUAGAGGGACAAGCGGUAUUCAGCCGCAUGAAGUUGAGCAAUAACAGGUCUGUGAUGCCCUUAGAUGUCCAGGACUGCACGCGCGCUACACUGGAGGAAUCAGCGUGCUGUAACCAUUGCCGAAAGGUAUUGGUAACCCCUUGAAAAUCCUCCGUGAUCGGGAUCGGGAAUUGCAAUUAUUUCCCUUGAACGAGGAAUUCCUAGUAAGUGUGAGUCAUCAGCUCACGUUGAUUACGUCCCUGCCCUUUGUACACACCGCCCGUCGCUGCCCGGGACUGAGCCGUUUCGAGAAAAGCGGGGACUGCUGUUUCGAGACCUUUCGAGGUGGAGAUUCUUUGGUGGAAACCGCCUUAAUCGCAGUGGCUUGAACCGGGCAAAAGUCGUAACAAGGUUUCCGU